CCAGUGGAACUGGCUGCCAGGAUGGAGCUUGGCUGUUCUCAGUGGUGGUAAAUGACAGAACAAGGAGCAAUGGUCUCAAGUUGCAGUGGGGGAGGUCUAGCUUGGAUAUUCAGAAACACUAUUUAACGAGGAGGGUGGUAAAGCACUGGAAUGGGUUACCUAGGGAAGUGAUGGAAUCUCCCUCCUUAGAGGUUUUUAAGGCCCAGCUUGACAAAGCCCUGGCUGGGAUGAUUUAGUUGGUGUUGGUCCAGUU